rnacentral:sRNA from 1 species
GAUGCUGCGGGCCCACCGCCAGGCCUGGUGCUGGCAGGAUGAGUGGACAGAGCUGAGCAUGGCUGACAUCCGGGCACUGGAAGAGGAGACUGCUCGCAUGCUGGCCCAGCGCAUGGCCAAGUGCAACACAGGCAGUGAGGGGUCCGAGGCCCAGCCCCCCGGGAAACCAAGCACCGAGGCCCGGUCUGCGGCCAGCAACACUGGCACCCCCGAUGGGCCUGAGGCCCCCCCAGGCCCAGAUGCCUCCCCCGAUGCCAGCUUUGGGAAGCAGUGGUCCUCAUCCUCCCGUUCCUCCUACUCAUCCCAACAUGGAGGGGCUGUGUCUCCCCAGAGCUUGUCUGAGUGGCGCAUGCAGAACAUUGCCCGAGACUCUGAGAACAGCUCCGAGGAAGAGUUCUUUGAUGCCCACGGUCAGCACUGAGGCCCUUUUUGGGAGUGGGGAUGUCCCCGAGCAGCUCCUCCCACCCCAUGACACAGCCCCCUGUCCCCUCAGAAGGCUUCUCGGACAGUGAGGAGGUCUUCCCCAAGGAGAUGACCAAGUGGAACUCCAAUG